rnacentral:lncRNA from 1 species
GAGAAGAGCUCAGGCUUCCAUGCAGUGGUAGACGGCAGCAGCAGCACAGCAGCGGGCUCCCAUCACUUUCUUCUCUUCUUCUUGCAAUUCCCCUGAGAACAGCUCCUUCUUAGCUCUUAUGGGAAAUCAUUCCCAAAAUACCCAAAAUGUUUCUCUCUCCUUUUAUUUCUUCUUCUUCCCGUGGGAUUUGGCCUAAGAGAGAUGUGGAUCAAC